GACGAACGCUGGCGGCGUGCUUAACACAUGCAAGUCGAACGGAAAGGCCCUGCUUUUGUGGGGUGCUCGAGUGGCGAACGGGUGGGUAACACGUGAGUAACCUGCCCUUGACUUUGGGAUAACUUCAGGAAACUGGGGCUAAUACCGGAUAGGAGCUCCUGCUGCAUGGUGGGGGUUGGAAAGUUUCGGCGGUUGGGGAUGGACCCGCGGCUUAUCAGCUUGUUGGUGGGGUAGUGGCUUACCAAGGCUUUGACGGGUAGCCGGCCUGAGAGGGUGACCGGCCACAUUGGGACUGAGAUACGGCCCAGACUCCUACGGGAGGCAGCAGUGGGGAAUAUUGCACAAUGGGCGGAAGCCUGAUGCAGCAACGCCGCGUGCGGGAUGACGGCCUUCGGGUUGUAAACCGCUUUCGCCUGUGACGAAGCGUGAGUGACGGUAAUGGGUAAAGAAGCACCGGCUAACUACGUGCCAGCAGCCGCGGUGAUACGUAGGGUGCGAGCGUUGUCCGGAUUUAUUGGGCGUAAAGGGCUCGUAGGUGGUUGAUCGCGUCGGAAGUGUAAUCUUGGGGCUUAACCCUGAGCGUGCUUUCGAUACGGGUUGACUUGAGGAAGGUAGGGGAGAAUGGAAUUCCUGGUGGAGCGGUGGAAUGCGCAGAUAUCAGGAGGAACACCAGUGGCGAAGGCGGUUCUCUGGGCCUUUCCUGACGCUGAGGAGCGAAAGCGUGGGGAGCGAACAGGCUUAGAUACCCUGGUAGUCCACGCUGUAAACGGUGGGUACUAGGUGUGGGGUCCAUUCCACGGGUUCCGUGCCGUAGCUAACGCUUUAAGUACCCCGCCUGGGGAGUACGGCCGCAAGGCUAAAACUCAAAGGAAUUGACGGGGCCCCGCACAAGCGGCGGAGCAUGCGGAUUAAUUCGAUGCAACGCGUAGAACCUUACCUGGGUUUGACAUGGAUCGGGAGUGCUCAGAGAUGGGUGUGCCUCUUUUGGGGUCGGUUCACAGGUGGUGCAUGCCUGUCGUCAGCUCGUGUCGUGAGAUGUUGGGUUAAGUCCCGCAACGAGCGCAACCCUUGUUCACUGUUGCCAGCACGUUAUGGUGGGGACUCAGUGGAGACCGCCGGGGUCAACUCGGAGGAAGGUGGGGAUGACGUCAAGUCAUCAUGCCCCUUAUGUCCAGGGCUUCACGCAUGCUACAAUGGCUGGUACAGAGAGUGGCGAGCCUGUGAGGGUGAGCGAAUCUCGGAAAGCCGGUCUCAGUUCGGAUUGGGGUCUGCAACUCGACCUCAUGAAGUCGGAGUCGCUAGUAAUCGCAGAUCAGCAACGCUGCGGUGAAUACGUUCCCGGGGCU
rnacentral:rRNA from 1 species